rnacentral:lncRNA from 1 species
UGUGCUUACAGCACAGCUGAAUGUGUCUCGACUGUUUUUUUUAUUUCCUGGAGGGGUGUGAAACAUCUUGAAGGAGUCAAAUUCACAGAGCACAGGGGUUAAUACCCCUGCCCCUCAGCAACAGACACAGGAUCAUUAACCUCAGAGAAACAGACUAGAGCUUGUUUCACAGCUCAUCACAGACGCACCAACCGCAGGAAAAUCCGAGCCUCUGAGCAGCCUGCUCAGCUGCUGAGAGACAGGGCAGAAUCAGGUUAUCUGAAAUCACAGUGUGAAUGUUUGACCUUUCUGCCCGGAGCAAUGGAAUGGCAGAUAUUCUCAAUCCUUUCCGCCUGGGAGAGGUAGAAGUAAAGGUGCCAGAGCUUCAGGAUGACUGAUGAAGGACUGUCCACAGCAACUGAUUACCCCAGAACCACUUCCCCUCUCGGAUUAGCACACUGGAAAGAGGUGGAACAUAAUCGUGAAGCUACCACUUUUCCUUCUCAGUUUAUUGGUGUGUUUGUGCGGUGGUGUCAGACCGCCUGUGUUUUCAGCGAGGAAGCAGGACAGUCCCAGAGCGCAGUUCCGGAAUGCAGGAGGGAGGAGCUGCCGGGAUAGUCCCGCAGCUGAAACCCGAGACGGGCUGUCCCAGGCUGCUCCGCUACCCUUGUGAAAGGCGACAGCGUGCAAGUCAGGAAGGCUCCGGUUUUAAUAUCUGCGUGACGGCCCUCGCUAUCAGUAAUACUUCUGCUGCAUGGAUUUCAAAGAGGGCACCCCUUUCUUAAUGUAUCGCGGUUUUAUACUCCUCGUAUGCUACAUUUUCUUCUGUAAGUACUGUACGGCAGGUUUUGACGGCCCCUUAGUAGGCGUCCAAGCGUGUUGAAUUUUAGAAAUGCAACAACAUGCCUAAUCUGUUUGCCCAGUAAUUUCUCUGAGGAUUUCAUUGACGUCAAUCAUCAACAAGCCCCAAGGCCAGGACUCUACUCACAAGUGCGCAGCACCAUCAACCCAGAAGUAUCGGAUGUAUCGGUAUCUUCUCCAAGCUCUGAAACGCACUCCAGGGCGAGUAACCAAAUGCAGCUUUGGUUUGCUUCAUUGCUGCGCUUGUUCGUCUUCUUUGUGCUGUAGGAUUUUCUUCAGUAUGCACAGCUGCUCAUUUUAAUGUGUCAUUUUAUUGCCCUGCAUUGUGCUGUGCAUAUACCCAAAUUUACUAAAACACACAAAAACUAAUACUGUAACAUCUGCUUGAAAGAAAGAUGAAGAUGCAGAAUCGUCCUUUUUUCCUGCAUAAACUGUUGUAAUUUCAAUAAAGACUACAAACUGUUUUCUUUUGAUAGAUUUAUUUGAUUUAAAUUAAAUUGAUUUAAUUUAAAUUUUAGAUUUCUUCUCUCUAAAUUAUGUAAAUUAUAUUGAACCACCUACUUCAGUUUGAAUUUCAGUUUGAAGUCCUAAAAUUACACCUUGUGGUCUGCAUGCCUGUGUCGGUAAUGACUUAUCUAAUGAGUAAGGAAUUUGCUUUAUGGACUGAACCAAUUGAGAAUGUAAUUAGAUAUAAUCUUAACCUGCUUAACACGUCAGCACAGAGAAGCUGGAACUAUUAACCUGUGUUUUCUUGCAAACUCUAUGUUGAAUUCUAUGAAUCCAAAAUCUGCAGAAUCACAGAUAUGAAUAUCUGCUGCUUUCCAACAAGUUAUAGCAUGUGCAGUAUAUAAAAGUAUUCCGCCCUCUAGGGCCAUUUUUAGUGCAUCCACUUUUGACUACAAUCACAAUAUUUUUCCUAGUCUUGGAUCAGCUUUUGAACUCUGCCCUUCACUUCAUUCUUCGUGAAUAACUCCACCCCAGUCUUUGAUGCAGGCAGAGAUGCAUUCAAACUGUUACUGGUUCCACCAAACUGCUUCAGCUGCAUUGUGUCCAGGUGAUUGAAUGGAAGAUCCCACAAUCACACUUUGGAUAAUUGUUACAUUUCUUUGCAUGAGCCUCCAACCACUAAGUAUCAUUUCUGUCAAUGAUAUGACUUAGUAUUGUGCUGUGCUUGUUGUUGUAAUUUCAAACAAAGUCCUUUUUCUAUCCUAGUCAGGCUGUUCUCAGAUACUGCAAAGUACAAUACAGGACAUCAGCAAAAAUGCGUGAAAAAAAAAUACAACUGCUCAGUAAAAACAACAAAGAAUAUCCUGGCCAGAGUCAGGAUCUGAGAUGACCCCUGAGAUAGACAUUUCCUGUUGCUUAUAGUGCUCAGCAGGGACCACUACCUAACACAGUAAGCAGCUGUCUCCUGAGUGCAGACAGCUGGGUGUGCAGCACUGCAGCAGGUGAAAGAACAGGCCCCGCUGGGAGAUACGUUGACCUCCACCUGAGAAGACGGGAUCCCCGGAGAACCAUCAAGAAUCAUCCCUGACCUUGUCCUCUCGCAGAAGUGGUUACUGUCAAACAAAAUCAAAUGGCAAGAGAUGACUCCAUCUUCAGGAAUCCAGCAGUAUCACAUAUUGUAUGGGAAAAGAGGGCAAAAUCAGUUCAGAUUAACUUCUAAAGGAGGCCAGUGAUCAGGAUAUAAAGGAAAAGUAAACUAAUUCCCUAUCUAAAAUGAGGAGGUACAUUCUGUCACAAAGUGUUGUGAGUGCCAAGUUAUAUUGGGGAUGGAGAGGCACUAGGACCCCUCAUGAAUAUGUGAUGAAUUUAUGGGAUGGUUACCAAGCUCAAAAUUGGGUAAACAAUCUAUUUUCAUUUGUGACAUUUCUUGUGUUCUUCUGUCUGUAAAGCAAGCAAUUCAAUAAAACUUAUUUGUUUUGUUGGAUCAUUUAUUUCUGAGGUUUGAAUUGUUGUAUGAACAAUAAAGAGCUGUGCCACCGGGCUCCCAGCAGAUGAAACAUCUUGUUGGUUUGGUAUAAAUACUCCUUUCAAACAAUCUGUUAAAUAAAGCAGUUUAUAAAAUGGUAAUGUCUAUGAAGCAAAGGUGUUUAAAGGUCCAAAGGGUAAAGAGGUAUCAACACAUACAGUAUUUAUAAACCAUCCUUUUUUUUCCCUUCUUUGAAAAUCUAUAGUCCUGUUCACUUCUUCAAAAAUUAAUUGAACUGCAAUUGCAGGAUGUGGUAACCUUCUAAACAACCAAAAAAAAUAGCAACUUCAGUGAAGUGCUGAUGAACAAAGAAUUUACCUGGGCCAUAAA